ACAUUGACUGCACUGGCGACCACGUGGCACCUGGCCCCGAUUUCUCGAAACAAACUUAAGUUUUUGCCCAAGUUUCAAACUGAGUUUGGCAAUUUUAAACAGCUGAAUUUUAACUCAACGGCAUUUUUAAAAUAAAAAAGUCCAAACAACGUAAGUAAUCUAUCCGCCAAACUCGAAUUAUCUACUAAGUUUGAGUUUAAUAUCGAGUUCAGUUCAUUCUGGGAAAUGCAUUUUCCUGCGUUUUCUCAAAUUUGAGUAAAAACUCUAAAUUAAGUCAAAACUC